ensembl:lncRNA
AUUCAGGUUACUUUGACUGCCAACAUUAAGACCUCCCACACUACACAAAGGGGGUGGUUUGGGAGGGGCUGUAGCACACAGCCUAACAGGACGCUGCCCAGGAGGACGCAGAGACAGCGUGAUGGAGGCUGGACUGGGUUCUGCUGUGUACCUGAGUUCAUCACAGGUCUGUGUACACACAGGGUCUGUGAUAGACUUAUGGAGGAUGAAGCUGGUACUGCUAUGGACCCAAGAAAACCUCCAGCUGUUCAACAGCAGCUAGCAGUUCAUCAUGGACAGGAGCUGAAGUGGAACUGGGUUCUGAAGCUGGAGGGGAAGGCUGGAGGAAACGUGACUGUCAACCUCGUCACCAAAGUCACAAUUAGUGAGUUCCAAGGUUGGUUAGUUUUAAUUUAAGAUAAGAUAACCUUUAUUAGUCCCACACAUGGGAAAUUUAUUUUGUUACAGCAGAAAGUGGACAGUGCAAAGUUACAUAGCAAAAAUUAGAAAAACACUGGAAUAGGAUAAGAAUAACAUACUGUACACAACUAAAAUAGAAUACAAAUACUAUAUACAACUGAGUAAGAUACAACAUUGUCAAAACAAGAGUAUUGCCCUUAGUGUUAUUGCUAUUGCACAUGUGUGGAUGUGUGUGUUUGGUCAGUUGAAGUCUUUGUUGUGGAGUCUGACAGCAGUGGGGAGGAAAGACCUGCGAAAUCUCUCCGUCGCACAUCAGGGGUGCUGCAGCCACUGAAGGAGCUGCUCAGUGCUGUCAGAGUCUCCUGCAUGGGGUGGGAGAUGUUGUCCAAAAGGGAUGACAGCUUAGCCACCAUUCUCCUGUCACUCACCACCUCCACUGGGUCCAGAAGGCAUCCUAGAACAGAGCUGACUCUCCGGAUCAGCCUGUUCAGUCUCUUCCUGUCCCCAGCAGAGAUGCUGCUGCACCAGCUGUCCACACCGUAAAAGAUAGCUGAGGCCACCACAGAGUCAUAGAAGGUCUUCAGGAGUGGGCCCUUCACUCCAAAAGACCUGAGUCCCUGCAGCAGGUACAGCCUGCUCUGCCCUUUCCUGUAGAGGGCGUCUGAGUUAUGAGUCCAGUCCAGUUUAUUGUUCAGAUAAACACCAAGGUACCUGUAGCUGUCCGCAGCCUCAAUGUCCAUACCUUGAAUG